AUGAGAGAGAGAGAGAGAGAGAGAGAGAGAGAGAGAGAGAGAGAGACCUGGGCGGCUCCGGCGCCACGGCGGGCGCUGUCCUCCCGCGGCCACGCAACAGCGGUUGAGAUGGGGUUCGGCGCGGGAUCAAGGUGGCGGCAUCGUUCACGAGCUCGGGCAGGGCAUCCAUGGCCGGAGCGCCGGAGCACCAGCGACACGCGGACUUGGGGACCCCGGAGACGGCGCUGGAGGUGUGGAUCCAGUGUGAAGGUGGGGUUCGGCGCCGGAUCAAGGUGGCGGCCUCGUUCACGAGCUCGCGUAAGGCAUCCAUGGCCGGAGGGCCGGAGCACCGCGGGCGGGCAGGCUGGCGAGACGCGGGUCCAAUCCUACGCCGGUAGCUGCUCUGCCUUCCCCUUAUUUUUUAAGUGCUUUGAAUCCGAUGGAGUCAAUCCGUGA
rnacentral:rRNA from 1 species